CUGCUCCCUCCUGCCCGGGGACCCAGUGUGAGCCUCCCGCCUCCUUCCCUGGGCCUCCCUCCCUCAUCCAUCGAGUGGGGGUGAUCUCCAGGCCCCCUCAUGGCUCUAAAACACUGACUCGGCAAUUCUCUGCAGCAGACAGAAGAGCUGGCCACACAGCCUCCUCGCUCACAGCCCAGCCCCUCCUCUCCGUUGUCACCUCACUCAGCAGUGCCCCCGAAUCCCAGAGAGGGUGGCUUUCAUUAUUUUUUCUUUAUUUUUAUCAAAGGGUAUUUUUUUGUCAAAAAUUGUGUCUCCCCUGAGACAGUGCAGCCUCUGAGCAGGCUCUCCUUGUUUCCAUGGAGACAGCAGCUGGCUCACAUGUGUGGUUGCUAUGGAAACGAGGCUGGUUCUCUUCCUCUCCCUCCCCUCCCCUCUCACUUUCCCUUCCUUCCUCAUCACCUCACCUCCUCACCACCCCUCCUCCUUCACACCACUUGGGAUGCAAGAAAGGGCAACAAGAGGCACCCCCAGCAAAUUAGAGAAAAAGGGGAAGAGAACUUGAAAGAGGCCCGAGAGUGGAGCCAGUUUCUCCCCAAACGCUGGAGCAGGCGUGACAAUCUGACCAGCCUCUCCUGUCACACGCUGGGGCCCAGAGAGGUGAGGUGCCUGUGGCGUGACAGAGGCGCCAGGGAUCUUAAAUCAGGAGGACAGGAGAGAAAGCCUGUCAGUCCAGUUCUCCCAAGGCUCUCCCUGAACUCAGAAAGAAAAGUCCAGAGGUGCACCUUUGAGGCCUCCGGGGCAAGACGGCUCUCUGCGCAUGAAGAAAGGUGGGGGACUUCCCAGCCAGACCUGCUCGAGAUCCCUCCUGCUGGGGUUUACUUUCUUCUUUUGACUCUUCGGCAACACCCCUCCUUUAGAAGUCCCCAGAUUCCCAAGCAGCUGGAAGUGCCUCCCACCUGGGACAUCCCUGGAUCUCGCCCAGUUUCCCUGAGAAAAUUCCUCUCCAACCUUCCUCCCACCUGCUCAGCAGCGCCGGCCCCUCUGGGAAGGUAG
rnacentral:lncRNA from 1 species